rnacentral:tRNA from 1 species
GCCCAGGUAGUGUAGCGGUUAGCACUAGGGACUGUGGAUCCCUCAGCCCGGGUUCAAAUCCCGGCCUGGGCC